AGAAUUAGGUCAUAAGACAGUCAAAAGUCCUUUUGAAAUUUGUAAUAAUAGUCUGGCUCUGUUUGUAGUGUGGAAACUUGGAUCUUUUUAGUGAAAAGUGAACAGUGAACUUGGCUCUGUUUGUAGUGUGGAAACUUGGCUCUUUUUACUCUUUUUAGUUCCAGGCAGAGUAAGAAACUUGCAUUUUCCUAGUUCUUGUCCUUCAGUAUUCAUGCAUUCUCUUUCUCAUGGAUUUGUGCUACAGCGAAAUUAGCAACAACAACAACAACAAACCUAGUAUAGGGAGGGUAAAAUGUACGCAGUCCAUACCACUACCCCGAGGGAGUAGAGAGGCUGGUUCUCAUAGACCCCCGGCUCAAGACGAAGGACCGUAGACCAAAAGGCGGGCAAAAUGAUAAAAUAACAGAGAAGCAUCAUCCACAAAAAAAAAGUGCAAUUACCCAACCAAAGGCCCUCCUCCCCCAAAUCUAGAACUACCAACCAAGCUACGCCUAACCCUCCUACUUACAAACUACGACUCGACCACACACCUUAUCCCUCUAACUUAACACUUUUCCUCUAGACCUUUCUAUCGAGGGUCAUGUCCUCAGUAAGCUGUAACUGCUCCAUGUCAUGUCUAAUCACUCCUCUCCAGUACAUCUUUGGUCUACCCCUACCCUGCUUGAAACCCUCCAAGGCCAACCUCUCAUACAGACUACGACUCGACCACACACCUUAACCCUCUAACUUAACACUCUUCCUCCAAACCUUUCUAUCGAGGGUCAUGUCCUCAGUAAGCUGUAACUGCUCCAUGUCAUGUCUAAUCACUCCUCUCCAGUACAUCUUUGGUCUACCCCUACCCCGCUUGAAACCCUCCAAGGCCAACCUCUCAUACAGACUACGACUCGACCACACACCUUAACCCUCUAACUUAACACUCUUCCUCCAAACCUUUCUAUCGAGGGUCAUGUCCUCAGUAAGCUGUAACUGCUCCAUGUCAUGUCUAAUCACUCCUCUCCANN
rnacentral:lncRNA from 1 species